UACGGAGGGAGCUAGCGUUGUUCGGAAUUACUGGGCGUAAAGCGCACGUAGGCGGCUUUGUAAGUUAGAGGUGAAAGCCCGGGGCUCAACUCCGGAACUGCCUUUAAGACUGCAUCGCUUGAAUCCAGGAGAGGUGAGUGGAAUUCCGAGUGUAGAGGUGAAAUUCGUAGAUAUUCGGAAGAACACCAGUGGCGAAGGCGACUAACUGGACAUGUAUUGACGCUGAGGUACGAAAGCGUGGGGAGCAAACAGG
rnacentral:rRNA from 1 species